GAAGGAGAGAGAGAGAGAAGGAGAGAGUUCAGUCAGAUCGAGGAAAGACAAACACACACACACUCUCUUGCUCCACGCGCUAACCACACAUACACCCCUAUAUCUAAGGGCAGAGCACCCAGACGCUGUGGCACCAUGUUGCACCCCAUCAUGAUAGGCAUCGUGACCUUCAACACCUCCUUGACCAUCAUCUACUGGACCUUUCUCCUGGGAGGGACCUUCUUUGACAUGAUGUCUCAAGAAGAAGACAAGCCCAAGAAGCUUAGUGAGGUCACCCCCGCUUGAGCCUGCGCUGCCAUGGAACCCACUACCUACCUGUGAAUUUACUACGACAACCACCGACAGCUUACUAGGCCUAUAGGCAGCUUGUAUCGCUUUACACAUUUUUUAUAUUUAAAAAAAAGAAAAUCAGAAUUCCAUUGGGAAUCCUGUUUUUGCUUCUCUUUCUGCCGUUUUCCACUUGUUUCACAUCCGUAGAGAAUCGGGUCAUCUGGAUCAAUCUGGAAUCAUUCUAAAACAGGAUUACAGACUUGUUCCACUUACAAAGACCUUUCUAGACGUUUUCUCAGUGACAACAUGGCUGAGGAGAAGCUACACGUCAAGUUUGUAAGAUUGGGUUCUUGGCCCAAAACCCUCUGAUGUGGAUGCUGAGGGAGGUAUGGAGGAAGAAGAGGAGGAGCGAGGGAUCCAAUAUGAUGGAAGGAUUAAGAAAGAGAAAGAGUGGAUGGAGGAGAACGAGGUUGGGUUGCUGCCAGGGUUCUACCACGUGGCAGGGAACUACCACCCGCCUGCCCUGCCACUUCGCAGCAUUAUCACAGCUUUGCCAAGCGAGAGGAUUAUGUCCAWUCAGAAUGUGACCUUUGAGCGCCCUUUGACCCCUCAUGUCAACUCCUUCUGAGUUCUGUAACCUCAUUURUUAUGCCAAUAGGAAAUCACCCCCUCAUCUCUAGCCCUAUGGAAAGUGUUUAUAUCUGAAAGGAUUUUAAGAUACAAGCCAUAUGGCGGAAAUUUCAUUUGGCCUAUGAGAGGGCAAGUUGGUGAAAUGAUCUGCUUGUAACUAACCAAUACAUUAAGAUCUAGGCGGUAGAGUUCAAUCUGGAAUAGGGCAGUGUUUUUUGGCCUGUAUGCCAAGUCUAUCCUUCAUUUUUACCCCAUAACAACUCCUCUGUUUGUUGCAAAUGACAUAGAGAUAGAUGCUUGAGCUACAUAGGUACAACACAUGUAGCUUCUAUGAAAUAUAACUGUGAUACAUGUAUGAAUACAUUAGUAUGUUCUUGUAUUGAUGCUGAUAGAAAGGUGGGCCAUAUUUAUACUCAUUGACAAGAGAAAUGGGUAAAAAAAUAAAGAGCUCUUGGACGUCAUGUAUAGCAGCUAUAUUACUUCAUGUGUAGAUACACACACA